AUCUUUUAAAUGUAUGGCUUGGUAUGAGUGAGAGAAGAUUGGCUGGAAACUUAAUAUUAUACGAUUCCCUUGACGAGUACGAGUGUGUUUAGAAUGUCAGAGAACACCGCUUGAAAUAAUCAUGAAUAUUGACUAAAGAAUAUUCUCGAUCUGGAAGUAAGGGAAAGUUUAUAACAUUUAUGAUCGCAAAUAGUCGACAAUUUUCGACAAAUGAUGAUAGAGGUUAUAAUGAAUAUAUAUAAGUAACCAAUAGGACCAGCAUUACGUCGUCGUCGUACAAUCAUUUGUUAUUAUUUUCUGAUAUUGUACUAUGUCAACGAUGAGUGUGUAUAAUGAAAACUUCUUGCGCUUGCUGUUUUAAAUUACAAGCUAACGAAAAUAAUAACAUUUCUUUUUACAAGUUCCCACAAGAUGAAACUCUCCGAAAGAUAAUUCUCCACGAUGUAACGGAAAUUUUUUAGACUUGUAAAUCAAUGGAAACUAAAUUUUAAAUGUUUCUCAGUUAUUCAAGUCAUUGGACACCAAACAUGAAAUUGACAUAGUUUUAAGAAUCAAUACCAAUUCUGAUUAUGAAACUUAAACUCCAACCUCAAUGAUGGGAAACGAGCUAAAUCAAGAUUCAUGGAGUGUAUCUGAUUACGCAAAUAAUGUUGUCGUAUAAAUUGCUGGCAAAAGUAUCAAAGCAUUUUGAGUGUGAUAUAUGCUGGUAGAGUCUAAUCCAAAAUCAGGUCUUUUGGGCUUCUAGAGAAUAAAAGAUCAAGGAGGAUUACUUUCAGUUUUAGAGGACGUGGUAAAACAUGUAUGAAAAAAUUUUCUUUUUUUAUUGUCGAGCUCAUUAUUACUAUAUUAGUUAGUUUUCUGUCCACAUUUAUGAUAACGAUAGUCAUGCAUUUGAACAAACCAUCUUAUCGGAUCAUAAAAUGCAGCUUCUAAAGCUCAUGGUAAAAAAAUAUUUCAAUAUCUGAUUAUACCACGGAGGAGCAUUUAAGCUUAAUUCAAUUUAGUGACUUACAAACAUGUGUAAUAAUUUAUUAUUUUUCAGAAUCCGUUAAUUUGAUUUAAUAUUCUGUCUAUAAAGUUGCAUAAUUACAGUAUGCAUAUAUUCAUUGCACUAUUUAAAAAAAAUUAGGUUUCAAAAAAAGCCGUCUCUUGUUAUCAAAUGUACUACAGAUAGUGUGUGUGUGCACAAAUACAUGAUAUAUUGUAAAUUUUUUAUUCUUUCGGUCUUAUUUGAGCUGUAGAAAGGAAAUUAGGAAAUUUGACAGAUAUCAACAACUGAUGAGGUUGAAUUGUCGCUUACCGUGCUCUCUAAGUUCUGUACCAUUAUUCAUACACAGGUACUUCCCUUCCUGCGAAGCUAGUCUACGCAGAGAGAAAUAGAACAUAGUAUCUCCAUUCUCUGUCUCUCUCAGUCUACUUUUAUCACUUUUAUUACUGCUUCAGACUAUAUUCAAAAUUUGUAUAUAGAAGAUCCAUGCCAUGAACACAUGUAAUACUUAACAUGGUAAAAAAAAAUUAUUCCUUUAUUAGAAUUUAUUAAGAAAAUAUAGUUUCCAUUUGGGAUACAUUGACAAAAUUUAAUAAUUUAAAAAAUAAUUUUAAAAAUUGACAAAAAUUAAUAAUUAUUUUCCUUGUUUCUUUCAUAACGCCUAUAGAUUAGAUUAAUUUUUUUUUAAGCUUUGCGAUAAAAUUUAUAUUUAUUAUAGUAAUAUGAUCAUGAAGUUUCUCUAUAAUUUCAAGAUCAUCUCCUAGUUUCUUGAAGCAGAAAAAAUAACAAAACAAUAAAUUUCUUUCGAUGAAUAAGAAAGUAUUAUUUAGUAGGGUAAAUAUCUACAUAUUACAUCUAUCUCUUUGUAUUCCGUUUCUAUUUCGUAAUAUAUAUGUAACGAAAUAUUACUAUUUAUAUUUUGUCACCUUUACUAAUAAUUUAAAUUGGCCGCUGUCUUACAGUUAAGAGGCGCAGGCGUAUUAGGCUUAGAAAGAUUCGGGAACGUUAAUAACGAGACAGAAAAUAUAGAAACGGUUAGUAGUUUGCUAAGCAGAGACGGUUAGAGUUCAAAUUGCGAAGCUAGUGAUAAGACAAUAAAAUAAGAGUGAAUAUUAGCUGUAAAUGUUAUUUCUCUUAUUUGCAGGUAAUGCAACUAAUGUAUAUAGUGUAGUUUUUAGUGUAAUUUGUAUUUGUACAAUGUAACGCAAUGCAGAUAAUGUAGUUUAGUGUGAAUAAUAUUAAUAAAAUAAUCGAGAGAAUCUCUUAUUUGCAGAAA
rnacentral:lncRNA from 1 species